rnacentral:rRNA from 1 species
AACCGACACAGGUGGUCAUGGAGAGAAUACCAAGGCGCUUGAGAGAACUCGGGUGAAGGAACUAGGCAAAAUGGUGCCGUAACUUCGGGAGAAGGCACGCUGACACGUAGGUGCAGUGAUUUACUCACGGAGCUGACGUCAGUCGCAGAUACCAGCUGGCUGCAACUGUUUAUUAAACACACAGCACUGUGCAAACACGAAAGUGGACGUAUACGGUGUGACCCCUGCCCGGUGCCGGACGGUUAAUUGAUGGGG